CAAUAGCGUAUAUUUAAGUUGUUGCAGUUAAAAAGCUCGUAGUUGGAUUUCGGGUGGGACGCAGCGGUCUCGCAUUGCGUUUGUACUGCUGCAGCCCUCCUUCUUGCAGGGGGCGGCCUCUCGGACUUCACUGUCUGGGGGUCAGAAUCGGCGAUGUUACUUUGAGUAAAUUAGAGUGUUCAAAGCAAGCUUACGCUCUGAAUAUAAUAGCAUGGGAUAACACGACAGGACUCUGGCCUAUCGUGUUGGUCUAUAGGACCAGAGUAAUGAUUAAGAGGGACAGUCGGGGGCAUUCGUAUUCCGUUGUCAGAGGUGAAAUUCUUGGAUUUACGGAAGACGAACAUCUGCGAAAGCAUUUGCCAAGGAUGUUUUCAUUGA
rnacentral:rRNA from 1 species